GAUCCUGGCUCAGAGUGAACGCUGGCGGCAGGCCUAACACAUGCAAGUCGAGCGGCAGCGCGGGGGCAACCCUGGCGGCGAGCGGCGGACGGGUGAGGAAUGCAUCGGAAUCUGCCUCGUUGUGGGGGAUAACGUAGGGAAACUUACGCUAAUACCGCAUACGACCGAGAGGUGAAAGUGGGGGACCGCAAGGCCUCACGCGAUGAGAUGAGCCGAUGCCGGAUUAGCUAGUUGGUGGGGUAAAGG
rnacentral:rRNA from 1 species